GAGGAAGUCGAUGAUGAAACCUGCUGCUGCCUCCCUACUGGAGUACAUUUAAGGGAACUUCUGAAGGACAUAACGAACGAACUCUGGAGAACCAUCGGCAAAGUCUCUGCUUGUUGAGGUCUUGAGAGAUAAUUCACAGAGACAUCAAGCUCAAAGCUCAUCUCGUCUAAGCCAUCCUGGGACGACUCCUCCAGCGACGUUUCCAAUCUUCUUGAUCCUCCAUGCAGCUGGCUAGAUCGCCGGUGUUUCCUGCUGCUACAUCUUCCCUCAGUUCUUCCACGUAUGUUGGUGUGGGGGACGCCCUCAUGAUCGACCCCCGUGUGCGGGUUCCCACAGCACCAGCUUGCUGGCUGGGAGCUCCCGGGGUCUUUGGCGAUGAGCGGCCAGACUCCUUCUUCU
ensembl:lncRNA